rnacentral:lncRNA from 10 species
GUGCGCAUGUGUGAGCCCUCUCAUCCGACUCCUGAGAUCUUAUCAGGAAGCUGCUGAUCACCAGCUUCAGGUGUUUCUAUUUAUUGGGAGACUGUCUUUCCCUGGCACCAGCUGCAACCAAUGAUUACUUUAGAGAGACAGUUUAACAACUGCCUGACCAUCACCUGAUGGUCAUCUGACAUUCCCAGGACUCCAGAUAAGAGCCCAGGCCAAAGGACACCUUGAUUUUGACCUUGUCAGACCUGGAGUUGAAAAACCAGCUGCACCCUUCUAGAAUUCUUACUUACAAAACUGGAGAUGUUACAAGACAAGAUGAUUUCACUGGAAGCUGAGUUUUGCCAGCUUUGGGGAAAUGCUGAUGCAGAACAUCAUUUAUUUAAGGCUGAUACUCAUGGAUAGAAGAGUCAAAGUGCGAAUAUAUGCACCCUUCUAUACGGAUUCUGCAGAAAGAUAUGCUUGGGUCAUGACUCAGCUAUUUACAAAGUUGCUGGUGACUAAUUGCUGGAAAGAAGCUGGGACGUUCUGUGGCCCCUCCAUUUUAUAUCCCCUCCCUUUGGUUCUCUAGGAAAUUGAGUUCAG